GAAGCGUGGGGGCAGCUUUCCAGUUCUGUAACUGGUGAAACGAAAAAAGGAAAUGGUUAACGAUCUUCUUCCUAAGAAUAUCGUCCAUUGCAGGAUUUUUGGUGCGCAUUGAGAUGCGUAAUUUUUGAACCAGUGGCCUCUCCGCUGCGGUCGCCACCGCCGUUUCUUAUCCUUUAGGUUCUCUCUCUCUCUUUUCCUUCUAAAUUUUCGGUUCUUAUUAAAUGUGUGUCAUUCUUGCAAGUUGCUAGGUUUUGGUGGACCCCGAAUUGAAUGUGAUGCUACCGCUUUAUUCCUUAGAGUUACGCUCAUGGUGAAUGCGAUGGUCUGUGGGACUUUAUAAUGAACUUCUUUUUCUUUUCGGUAACUGUCAUAUUCACAGUAAUCAUUUCUUGAUUUGUGGCAUUUCGUUUGCAUUAUCUCGUGGUGUUACUGCUUUAUAGUUUGAAUUGAUGUCGUAAUGUUUAGUACAUGCUACCAUCAAUCUAUGUAUGAUGAAUGGAGAACAGGAAGGAAUGAAUAAGGGAAUUCCUGAAUUAAAACGAAUUGGUCGUUUUUUGGUAGUUGCUGAUGUAAACCUUUCGUAAGUCUGAAUAUGUAGAAACAAUAUGAACGAUUCUUAAUUUUCCAGAACAGAGAAAGUGAAAAAGUUGAUCCUAUA